CAAAAACCUGUCUCCGUACGAUCACCGAAGUUAAGCAACGUCGAGCCUGGUCACUACUCAGAUGGGUGAACGUUUGGGAAUAUUACGUGCUGUAAG